rnacentral:tRNA from 1 species
GGCCCUGUAGUUUAAUGGAUAAAACAAGCCCGUCCUAAGGGUUGGAUGUGCGUUCGAUUCGCGCCGGGGCCA